CAAGAUCGCCCCGUUUUUUGAAAUGGGUUCUAUUCCCAAACCGUGCAUACAUACCUUUGUUGCUUUGGCAGGCCGCCUUCUAGGCGUCGGCUCCGGCUGACUGCGCCUGCCAGAGGACCCAAACUCUUUUGUUUAGUGAUGUCUGAGUACUAUAUAAUAGUUAAAACUUUCAACAACGGAUCUCUUGGUUCUGGCAUCGAUGAAGAACGCAGCGAAAUGCGAUAAGUAAUGUGAAUUGCAGAAUUCAGUGAAUCAUCGAAUCUUUGAACGCACAUUGCGCCCCUUGGUAUUCCGAGGGGCAUGCCUGUUCGAGCGUCAUUAUAAUCACUCAAGCCUCGGCUUGGUCUUGGGGUUCGCGGUUUCGCGGCCCUUAAAAUCAGUGGCGGUGCCGUCUGGCUCUAAGCGUAGUAAUUCUCUCGCUAUAGGGUCCAGGUGACCACCUGCCAUAACCCCCCAUUCUUUACGGUUGACCUCGGAUCAGGUAGGGAUACCC
rnacentral:rRNA from 1 species